rnacentral:lncRNA from 1 species
GGGUUUGGGGGACGCCGACUGAGGCCCCCUAGAGAGGGGGGGUUCGGGGCGCAGUCCCCCGCAGAUUUUUUUUUCUCUCAGUAAAAUGGUUAAAAAUUACCCUUUUUCCUUCGAUUUUCUUACUUUAAGAAACAUCAAUAUUGGUUGAACCUGGAAGCAAUUUUUAUGCAAAAACAAGCUGAUAUUGCUCUGUCUUGUAGGUCGUACUUUGACCUAUAAUUAUUAACAUUAAAUACAUAGUGACUGCUAAUUGUUUUUUCAAUAAAAUUAGUGGCUAAAAUGACCCGUUUUCCUUCGAUUUCCUUACUUUAUGAAAGGAUCCUGGAAGCAUUUCUUAUGCAAACAAUUAUUAUCUGUAUUUAAAGAUAUUUUUGUUAGAAAUCAAACUGGUAAGUUAAAAAAAAACAUAUAAAGCAAGAUCAUAGAACGCAAGAUGUUUUUUUAUCGAGGACCUUGAAUUUCAAAAUUGUUGAAAACCAAACAGACAUGUAUAUAAAUACAACCAGGGAAUUUCUAUACUAGAAUAUACUUAGUAUAGAAAGUCCCUGCUACAACGAAUGGGAGAGUUUAACUACUUAGACAUUGACCAUAAUGUUCUCGUACGAUCGGGAGACGUUAAAAAAAUGGGGACAGCCCCGAUGUUCCGACACCCCGUUAGUCCGACACCCCAUUGGUCCGACACCUCACUAGUCCGACACCCCAUUGGUCCGACACCCCACUAGUCCGACACCUCAUUGGUCCGACACC